rnacentral:tRNA from 1 species
UGGGAUGUGGCUCAGUAGUAGAGCUCUUGCCUUGCAUGCACAAGGCCAUGGGUUUGAUCCCCAGCACUGCAG